rnacentral:rRNA from 1 species
AACGAACGCUGGCGGCGUGGCUAAGGCAUGCAAGUCGAACGGAUCUAUCCAACGGGUAACUGAAGGGUAGAUUAGUGGCGAACGGGUGAGGAAUACAUGGACAACGUACCCUGGACACGGGAGUAGCGGCGGGCCGGCAAGGCUCUUUAGUCGAAAGUAGCCGGUAACUACCCGACUGAUCCCGCCAUGGUCGCAUGAUCGUGUGGGCGAAAGCUCCGACGGUCUGGGAUCGGUUCAUGCCCUAUCAGCUAGUUGGUGAGGUAACGGCUCACCAAGGCGGCGACGGGUACCGGG